rnacentral:snRNA from 1 species
AUCGCUUCUCGGCCUUUUGGCUAAGAUCAAGUGUAGUAUCUGUUCUUAUCAGUUUAAUAUCUGAUACGUCCCCAUCGGGGACUACAUAUUAAAUGAUUUUUCGAACAGGGAGUCGAAAUGGGGCUUGCUCCGUCCGCUCCACGCAUCGACCCGGUAUUGCAGUACCUCCGGGACGGUGCAACACUU